AACGAACGCUGGCGGCAGGCUUAACACAUGCAAGUCGUGGGGCAGCAUGAGUAGCAAUACUUGAUGGCGACCGGCAAACGGGUGCGGAACACGUACACAACCUUCCGAUAAGUGGGGAAUAGCCCAGAGAAAUUUGGAUUAAUACCCCGUAACAUAUAGAGUAGGCAUCUUCUUUAAAUCAUAGCUUCGGCGCUUAUUGAUGGGUGUGCGUCUGAUUAGGUAGUUGGCGGGGUAACGGCCCACCAAGCCUACGAUCAGUAGCUGAUGUGAGAGCAUGAUCAGCCACACGGGCACUGAGACACGGGCCCGACUCCUACGGGAGGCAGCAGUAAGGAAUAUUGGACAAUGGGCGAAAGCCUGAUCCAGCCAUGCCGCGUGAAGGAUUAAGGUCCUCUGGAUUGUAAACUUCUUUUAUUUGGGACGAAAAAAGGGAAUUCUUUCCCACUUGACGGUACCAAGUGAAUAAGCACCGGCUAACUCCGUGCCAGCCGCCGCCGUAAAAC
rnacentral:rRNA from 1 species